CAAAUUCGGUUCUAGAGAGGU
rnacentral:miRNA from 1 species